rnacentral:rRNA from 1 species
UAUGGUAAUUGCCAGCAGCCGCGGUAAUACGUAGGUGGCAAGCGUUGUCCGGAAUUAUUGGGCGUCAAGGGCGCGCAGGCGGCGUCGUAAGUCGGUCUUAAAAGUGCGGGGCUUAACCCCGUGAGGGGACCGAAACUGCGAUGCUAGAGUAUCGGAGAGGAAAGCGGAAUUCCUAGUGUAGCGGUGAAAUGCGUAGAUAUUAGGAGGAACACCAGUGGCGAAAGCGGCUUUCUGGACGACAACUGACGCUGAGGCGCGAAAGCCAGGGGAGCAAACGGG